rnacentral:rRNA from 1 species
GGCGGCGUGCCUAACACAUGCAAGUCGUGCGGUCCAGCACUCAACUUGGGGAGUCAAGUGGCAGCAGAACCAACCUGAUAGCGUUUCGAGGACGACGGUUAGUACUGAUUGCGAGUGGCUCUUCGAGUUGAGUGCUGGAUAGCGGCGGACGGGUGAGUAAUGCGUGAACAAUCUACCUGCAAGACCGGGAUAACACCGGGAAACUGGUGCUAAUACCGGAUAAUCUCCCUGGGCGGCAUCGUUUGGGGAGGAAAGCCGGCCUCUGGAAUCAAGCUGGUGCUUGUGGAUGAGUUCACGUCCCAUUAGCUUGUUGGCGGGGUAACGGCCCACCAAGGCGACGAUGGGUAGCCGGCCUGAGAGGGUGGUCGGCCACACUGGGACUGAGACACGGCCCAGACUCCUACGGGAGGCAGCAGUGGGGAAUCUUCCGCAAUGGGCGCAAGCCUGACGGAGCG